AGUUGCCCCAUAGGAAUUGAAAACUUGCAUCUUGGAUAUGAAGGUUUCAUGCUAGUAUGAGUUCUUCUGAAGAUUUUGGCAGACUGCUGCCAGAGUGAUACAGAUACAAUCCAAAUGUGAACUGCUGUGCGAGACUGAAGUUUCAGUGUGCUGGUGAUGAAGGGGUGUAUGCGGGUGUUCUUCACAAAAGGUUUGGGGUUCGUGUGAGCUUUCAUGUACAAAUCUCUUUGAUCAAGAAAUCUAACUCAAAGUUUUCAGAAGAAACUGUUUUCUCCCAAGACUUCCACUGAUCUUCAGAGCCUAUGGAAAAGCCCUUCACAAAAGUUCCUCCAACUUCAGCCGCUGUUACUUGACCACUCAUCUCCUCUUCUGAUAGGAACAAUGCUACUUACACACAAAUGGAAAAAGAAAUUACACAAAGCACCACCUCCACCACUACGUCUGAAAAGGAUCAGUGAUCUUUGCUUCUUGGGUAGUUGAUGGAGAAUGAAUAAGCAAGAAAAGAGCUUGCUUUUCAAGGAUCAACUUUCUUGUUUGCCUUCUUUCCUUACAGCACUUAAUUUGUGCACAUAUAAAUAAAACAAAUGUAAUCCUCUGUUUAGAGCAAUGUCUGUUUCCAAACUUCUUGUAAUUGGUUUCUGUUUUAUGCUUCUUGUUCUGUUGAGAGGCUUACUAAAUGCUUUAGGUAUUGCUAGUUUUAGUAAUGAGGUAAUUUAUAUUUUAAUUAAACAAGGCUGCUACAAAAUAUUAUAAUGGAUGCCAGGAACAUUUAUCUCUUAACUUUUGUCUCCUUGAAUUUUGAACUGCAUGACAUUCUGAAAAGUGCUUUUUGCUGCCUAAAUCCCACAGUGUAGCCCAGCAACUCUCUGCCUUACAUCGGACUAUCAUGUUGUUUCACCCUUUCUGUAUCUUUGAUCCCUGCUAUUUGCAAGGCUCUUCUAAACUUUAAAUAUUUGUAACAAUGCAUGCAGCAGAAACAGUGCAUCUGCUUUUCAAGUACAAUCUUUAAAAGCAAGAUUUGGUGGUGGGAAGGAAAGGGGAGGCAUUGUUAUAUUUUAUUUUUACUUCUUUGUUGGUCGGUUGGGUUAUUUCCUUUGUUACUAUUGCCCACCGUAAUGGGAGAAAAAGAACUUCAUCCUCCUCCCUUCACCCCAACCUUUCAGGUUACCCUGACAAGAAUUUCUUUUUUGCAUUAUCAUUAACCCAUCACAUCAUCUCUGUAUAUAAUGUAAUAGAGCUUAAUUUUAGACAUACGUCACUGCUGAGAUAGCUUUUAUUGUACUUUGAAUUAAGCACUGCCUGGCUGCUCUAUGACCAUUCAGCAAGAGAGAAAUUGGCACUCGUGUUUUAAUACUUUAGAAGAGUUGAAAUGGGAAAUAUGAAAGACUGAGAAACUAAUAAAAAUUAAAUCCACCAAACAUGUUAUGUGAGUAUGUAGGAGGGAAAUGGGGAAUAGCAGUAACUGCAAGGGAUUGAAUAAUUUAAUUUUGAAACUAAGAUGUCCUGCUGCAUUCCCUCCAGAAUUGAUUCAUUUUUGCUGUAUUGCUAAUUUUUAUAUCCAGUCACAUUCUUGUCUGAUUUGAUGUAUGGUGUUUAAAAACUGUCACUGUGCACAAGUAUGUAUUUUUGUCAAAGUUUAAGAUUUUCUAACUGUGCACCUUUUCAGGAACUCAGAUUAUUUCUACAUCAUUUUCUAUAUAUAUAAUUGUGCAUUUGUGGAUCAUGUUGCAGAGUUGUAUAAUCAUUCUUCUAAGUAUUUUUCUCUAAA